UUUUUAAAUUGGAUUCAUCAGGGCUUAGUGCUGCGGAAAGGCAUAUGUGUCCAAAAAAUGUACAUAAGCCUAAGGUACUUUGGAAGGAUAUUCUAACAGGACAAUGGAAAGGUCCUGACUCAGUGAUUGUCUGGAGUGGGGGGUCUGUUUGUGUGUUUCCACAGGGAGAACAGCAGCCGAUUUGGAUUCCAGAGAGAUUAACUAAAGCGAUUUCUACAGACCAAAAAGAAGAUGAUUUGGCUCAAAUCCAUAACAGCUGAUAUCCAGAACUCCAGUUUGGCUAUUCUUACAUCUUCGACAGUGAUUCUCCCACACCUGGAGGCUAAUGAAUAAUGAACACCAUUAAGGCCUAUUUCAAAUGUAAGAAACCUUGGGGCUUACUUGUGGGAAUACCUUCAGACUCAUAUGCAAGUUACAGGAAGAAGGAUGGGAUAUCCAAAGAAGAGUAAAACCCAGGUGGUAACCAGGAUGCCUUUUUCAAUAUCUAUUUUAUUAUUGCCCUUUCCCACAUCAUAAAGUUCUAUUUUAUUUUUUAAGCUCAUACAGACCUAGUUUAAUGUUUUUCUGAUCAGUGCUAUUUUUUGACUGUGGAGUUUUUAAACGUUGCAAUGGAAAUUUCACCUGUGUAAAGCUACAAG
rnacentral:lncRNA from 1 species